rnacentral:rRNA from 1 species
AACGAACGCUGGCGGCAUGCCUAACACAUGCAAGUCGAACGAGAUCUUCGGGUCUAGUGGCGCACGGGUGCGUAACGCGUGGGAAUCCGCCCUUUGGUUCGGAAUAACAGUUGGAAACGACUGCUAAUACCGGAUGAUGACGAAAGUCCAAAGAUUUAUCGCCAGAGGAUGAGCCCGCGUAGGAUUAGCUAGUUGGUGUGGUAAAGGCGCACCAAGGCGACGAUCCUUAGCUGGUCUGAGAGGAUGAUCAGCCACACUGGGACUGAGACACGGCCCAAACUCCUACGGGAGGCAGCAGUGGGGAAUAUUGGACAAUGGGCGAAAGCCUGAUCCAGCAAUGCCGCGUGAGUGAUGAAGGCCUUAGGGUUGUGAAGCUCUUUUACCCGGGAUGAUAAUGACAGUACCGGGAGAAUAAGCUCCGGCUAACUCCGUGCCAGCCGCCGCGGUAA